CCAGGAAGGAUGUUCAUUGAACUGUCAGAGGGUGAAUGAUUGACAUUAGGCACGAGCACUUUUUUUGGUAAGGGCCUUGGCGUGUCAUUAUUGGAUUAUUUCCUUAUAAAUGCCAUCCAAAUCUACCAGAUGUACCAUUGAGAGAUGUGCCAAACUAUUUGGGAGACCUCGUAGAUGCUCAGUGCCACUUAUUGAGGUACUACACUAUGGGGAGUAAAUCAAGACCAGGCCUAGGAACCGAGAAGACCUCAAUUAAAAUCAAUCCUUUAACCCACACUGGCUAUAUGACUGGGCAGAUCACUGACAUUUUCAGAAGUUUACAGCACAUUAGAGUGGGCGAACAUAAGCAAUUGAUGAUGGGGGAUACAUAGUUGGAGAUCAACGUGGCAAAAUACAAAGGUAUGAGCUGCUUAGGUGAUUGUAAGCUCUGGGUUAAAAUGACAAAUCAAGAAAUCCAAGCUUGUUCCAGAAGGAAAUGAAAAUAGAAUAGGCAUGAUAGAAUGGAAGAAAAAGGAAGCAUCAAGAUAACAGAAACAGAGAUGAAAAAGAAUUAAAAGAUCAUUCAUCAACAUGAACUAAAGUCUCCAUAAUUGUGAUAGGAAAUGGUCUCAGGAAGAAAACUAAGAAGUACUAAAAUUUU